CUUCAACGCCUGAACCUCCUUCACAAACUCGUCCUGCUUCGUGUCCUCUGGAGGAGAAAGUAGUGGAGAAAAAAGAGUUAUUGGUGGCGUAUUGUGUCAAGAAAUGGAGCGUUAUACCAACAAAUUGGGCAGAAGACGACUGCAGACCAGCUUAAAUACAGAUAGCCUCCCACACCUCUCCAAAGUGUCCCUCUCCCAGCUUCUUGUGGAGCCUGAAUUCCUCUCGAGGUCUCUCCCACGGCUCCAUGUCAAACAGCUCCCGCUGCACAGAGACGACAGGAUGUCUUACAGCUGAGAUCAAAAUGAGAGAAAACGCGACCAAACACGACGAUGUGGAAAGAAACAACAAAAAGGUUCUAAUUUUGGAUGUAGAUGCAGACAGAUAUCACUCUGGAUGAUGCAUUUAAUGAUCGGCAUCAUGUAAGUGUGUCCGUGGCCUCAGACUCACAGCUCCCUCUGGAAGGGAAGAGAGAAGAGGGAGGAAUCACUGAGUGGCCUCUGUUCCAGAAGAAAUACUGAUUUUUAAACACUUUCACAUCCACGCUGGGGGAAAAAAAACUUGACGCUCAUCUUUAAUAUCUGUAAAUGGUACGUAAUAUUCCCUUUUUCCUGUAUUUGUAUUGUGACUUGCUCCAGAAAAUGUGAAGAGUGUAGGUGGUUUCUCAGUUUGUGGUGAAAAGCCCUGAUACUGAGAGACCUCGGUGAGCUCUGUCGUCUCCCGCCGGGCUCAAACUGAUGAGCCAUGAAUAAAGAAUACAUCUCGCCGGGGGUUUAAUAUAAGCUGCACUGCAGAGAUAGCGUGUGUAAUCACAGCACUGCCACGUGAUUUUAUUCAAAAACUGUUCCAAAUAUUUAAUUCUCCUGCUAAUUGCACUCCAAAUAUGUUUGGCUCUUGGUGAUAAUUUAUUCAUGCAGAGCAUCAGACGGCACUCAUUAAA